rnacentral:rRNA from 1 species
GACGAACGCUGGCGGCGUGCUUAACACAUGCAAGUCGAACGAGAGGACAAGAGAAGCUUGCUUCUUUUGGAAUCGAGUGGCAAACGGGUGAGUAACACGUAAACAACCUGCCUUCAGGAUGGGGACAACAGACGGAAACGACUGCUAAUACCGAAUACGCUUGGGAGACCGCAUGAUCUACCAAGGAAAGGGUGGCCUCUACCUGUAAGCUAUCGCCUGAAGAGGGGUUUGCGUCUGAUUAGCUGGUUGGAGGGGUAAACGGGCCCACCAAGGCGACGAUCAGUAGCCGGUCUGAGAGGAUGAACGGCCACACUGGAACUGAGACACGGUCCAGACUCCUACGGGAGGCAGCAGUGGGGAAUCUUCCGCAAUGGGCGAAAGCCUGACGGAGCAACGCCGCGUGAGUGAUGACGGCCUUCGGUUGGUAAACUACGUAGUGAUCGGACGAAACGGACAGAGUGCGAGAACGAAACUAGAC